rnacentral:rRNA from 1 species
CAAUAGCGUAUAUUAAAGUUGUUGCAGUUAAAAAGCUCGUAGUUGGAUUUCGGGGUGGCCUGCCUGGUCCACCGCAAGGUGAGUACUGGUCAGCCGCCCUUCCUCUCGAAAGCCCCGACUGCUCUUCAUUGCAGUGGUCGGGUAGUUCGGGACGUUUACUUUGAAAAAAUUAGAGUGUUCAAGGCAGGCUAUCGCCUGAAUACAUUAGCAUGGAAUAAUGGAAGAGGACCUCGGUCCUAUUUUGUUGGUUUCUAGGGCCGAAGUAAUGAUUAAGAGGGACAGUUGGGGGCAUUCGUAGUUAAUUGUCAGAGGUGAAAUUCUUGGAUUUAUGAAAGACGAACUAGUGCGAAAGCAUUUGCCAAGGAUGUUUUCAUUAA